rnacentral:rRNA from 1 species
GACGAACGCUGGCGGCGUGCCUAAUACAUGCAAGUAGAACGCUGAAGAGAGGAGCUUGCUCUUCUUGGAUGAGUUGCGAAUGGGUGAUUAACGCGUAGGUAACCUGCCUUGUAGCGGGGGAUAACUAUUGGAAACGAUAGCUAAUACCGCAUAACAAUGGAUGUCACAUGUCAUUUAUUUGAAAGGGGCAAUUUCUCCACUACAAGAUGGACCUGCGUUGUAUUAGCUAGUAGGUGAGGUAACGUCUCACCUAGGCGACGAUACAUAGCCGACCUGAGAGGGUGCUCGGCCACGCUGGGACUGGGGGACGGCCCAGCCUCCUGCGGGAGGCAGCCGUAGGGGAUCUUCGGCGAUGGGAGCAAUGCUGACCGAGCGACGCCGCGUGAGUGCAGAAGGUUUUCGGGUCGUGAAGCUCUGUUAUGAGUCAAGAACGAAUGUGAGAGUGGAAAGUUCACACAGUGACGGUAGCGUACCAGAAAGCGCCGGCUAACUACGUG